GGGAAAUCCUGCAUAAUGGUUUUAAUACCACUGGCGUAUAUCAGAUAUAUCCCUGGGGAUCCAGUGGAAAGUCAAUAGACGUACUCUGUAAUAUGGAUGUUGACCCAAAAGGAUGGACGGUGUUUCAAUGGCGUCAUCCUUUAACAGAAAAUUUUACUAGAAAUUGGGAAGAGUACAAAAAUGGUUUUGGGAGUCUCAAUGGUGAAUUCUGGCUAGGAAACGAGAUCGUUCAUCUUUUGACAAAACCACAACGAACAUUGUUUCACAUUGGUAUUUCAAGUAAAAAUGGAAGCUCUUGGUAUGAAAGAUUUGACGACAUGAAAUUAGCAUCGGAAGCUCAAAAGUACACAAUUACUUUCGG